rnacentral:misc_RNA from 1 species
GAUGAAGAACGUAGCGAAAUGCGAUAAGUAAUGUGAAUUGCAGAAUUCAGUGAAUCAUCGAAUCUUUGAACGCACAUUGCGCCCGCCAGUAUUCUGGCGGGCAUGCCUGUCCGAGCGUCAUUUCAACCCUCGAACCCCUCCGGGGGGUCGGCGUUGGGGAUCGGGAACCCCUAAGACGGGAUCCCGGCCCCGAAAUACAGUGGCGGUCUCGCCGCAGCCUCUCCUGCGCAGUAGUUUGCACAACUCGCACCGGGAGCGCGGCGCGUCCACGUCCGUAAAACACCCAACUUCUGAAAUGUUGACCUCGGAUCAGGUAGGAAUACCCGCUGAACUUAAGCAUAUCAAUAGCGGAGGA